AUUGAACGCUGGCGGCAGGCCUAACACAUGCAAGUCGAGCGAGCGGCGGACGGGUGAGUAAUGUGUGGUGACUGCCCGAUAGAGGGGGAUAACUACUGGACACGGUUGCUAAUACCGCAUACUAUCGGAUAACCCAUAUGGGAUUAGCUAGUGGGUGGGGUAAAGGCUCACCUAGGCGACUAUCUCUAGCUGGUCGGAGAGGAUGAUCAGCCACACGGGGACUGAGACACGGCCCAGACUCCUACGGAGGCAGCAUGGGGGAAUAUUGCACAAUGGGCGCAAGCCUGAGGCAGCCAUGCCGGGUGUAUGAAGAAGGCCUUAGGGUUGUAAAGUACUUUCAGCGGGGAGGCGUUACCCGCAGAAGAAGCACCGGCUAACUCCGUGCCAGCAGCCGCGGUAAUUC
rnacentral:rRNA from 1 species